AAGUCGUAACAAGGUUUCCGUAGGUGAACCUGCGGAAGGAUCAUUAACACGUAUCCACGUAUCAACCAAUUGUGAACUUGUUUUCAACUCUCCCUACCUUAUACAUGAAUUGAAUUUAAUAAAAUAAUGAUGAGGAACUUCGGUUCUAGUUUUAUUAAAUAACUUGACUUUCGGGUCUGACAAUUGUAGUAUGAUGGUUAGGCAAACCCCUUUCUACUAAUAACUUCUCUCAUCUUGAAGUAAUUAGUGGGAUAUAAUACACCUAUUUCACCACACUUUUUGCUAGUUGACUUUUAUAUGUUGUUUUAUUUGUACUUUAUUGUAUAAUUAAAUCACACGUUUAUUAUUUGAACGUUAAAAUUACAACUCUUAGCAAUGGAUAUCUUGGUUCUC
rnacentral:misc_RNA from 1 species